GGCUCCAAGAGAUGGCAGGAGGUCACUAGAGAAGUUGGCAUGGUAAAUACUUUGCAUUUGAACCUCGUCGCUACAGAAUCUAUGGAAGAAGUUUUUGGCCCAGGUAAAUAGGCUAUUCAUAUGUAGUGCGUCAUUAAAGGGAAAGCAGGAAAAACAUGAAGAUAAACUUUUCAUCUUGUUUGAACAAAAAAGGUAAGGUAGAAAGAUGACGAAAAGGAGAGACAAGGAGGAUAUAUGAAAAUUGCAAUACAAGUGGCAGACAUGAGAUUUUUGUAAUGCAGUUGCACUUAAGCAACGAUAAUGGUGGUGGUAAUUGCGGUGGUGGUGGUGGUGGACGGUCCGUCACCAAGAUUAUUAUGGUGGUGUGAGUGGUAUAUAGACAAAAGUGUUGCAAGGACAGAUUUGAGUGAAAAUAAGUUGGUGUUUUCAUUUCAGAAAUCCAGAGAUGGACCAGAAGCAGCUGCUUCAGUAGAUUUAGAGAGAGUCAUGGAUGCCACGUGGACCAGUAGCGACUUUAUCUGAAGAGUUAGCACUUACGUGACUAAUUUCUCACACAUUAUAUUCUUCUGCAGCUUAAUCAGAGCCAUAUAUUAAUCCAGAAUUUCUUCUGGUCCGUGCUCCCUUCCUCCUUCAUGAAGAUUUUGACGUAUGAUUCCUUCUCUCUAACUAUUGGCAAGAUAAUUAUUGCGAUAUUACCAUAUCAUCUGUACAACAAAUUAAUCAUAUGAGUGAAAACUUUUAUUGUUUAUAUGAUUAUUAUAAAAAAAGAUUUACACAUUUCACGUAUUUUAUUGAUUUGUUGUAUGAUGUCAUAACAAAUACGUGGAAUAAUUACUUUAGUCGGAAUAUAUAUAUAUAUAUAUAUAUGUUGGCCAACUAAGGUAAGAUUGCUUAAGUUAGACUACAAUAUAUUAGCUUAUCUGGCAGCAAUUAGUAGAAGUGAAGUUAUUAAGACAUAGAAUACAUGGUUGUCUCAUUUGCACAUGUUCUGUCCUGAACCUUCAAGAGAAGGGCUCAAUUUGGCAUAUGAGAAUGGGGGACCUCCAAUUAAUUCUAGAGUA